GGCGUAGCUCAGUUGGUAGAGUCCUGGAUUGUGGCUCCAGUUGCCGCGGGUUCAAAUCCCGUCG
rnacentral:tRNA from 1 species